rnacentral:lncRNA from 1 species
GGAUUGAGUCCACAGAGCAGACCUUAGCAACCAUAUUUGGAGGGGAAGACAGAGUUGAAGCAACUUAACCAGGGUUAAAGUAGGGUCAACCUAUGGAUUCAAGGUUAGCGUAGGCUGGGCACUUGGCCAACAAGCAUAAGUUUGAUUUUCUUCAAAAUAGUAACUCCUAAUGCGAAGAGGAAGAGAGUCAGUGGCGUCUGGCUGAGGGAAGAAGGAGCCUGGCUGCACCGCUGUCUGUGGUCUGUGGCCUAGGCCAGGUACAAUUGACAGCCUCCCCACACGGAGCCACUUCUUCACGACAGGACAUCAAGAUUCUGUUCAGGACACAACCAACAUGAACCAUCACACACACUGGCAUGAUCAUUGACUUGGGAUUCUUCAAGCAGCCUUUUAGACUCUUUCUGAAACAUUUUCAAAGCAUCACGUAAGUAUUAACUGAAAUGGUUCUUCAAUGGUCCCUGUUACCCUCGGCCUCUUCCCUUCCCUUCUGUAGCCAAUGCUGAGGAAUGCGCAGAGAAAUCUCUAGUCUCCACCACAGGAAGGUAAGAGCUAGCAGCAGGGAAGACAGAGGGAUCCCCCAAAGCAUUCAUGUUUUUGCAAGUAUAACAAAUAUAGUGAAAAAUCCUCUCUUGUACGCAGUUAAAAUUUGGCAGAGCACAAACCAGGACCUGGCAAGACCUGGCAGGACCAGCAAGGCUGGGCUUCCCCGGGCUCAAUGGCUAACCAGAAAGCUAAACUGGUCUCCCCUUCGGAAACCCCCUAUUCUACCCUCCCCACCUCUAUUAGGGUGCUCCCCCACCCACCCACUCCUGCCCUCCCGCCCUGGCAUUCCCCAUAGCUGUUUUCUAAGGAGCCUCAUCUUCCUGGCUGCCGAAACAGCAUCACCCUGCACAAUACCUCUUCAGUCACAAUGCAGCACACAAUUAAACGGCAUUGAUGCCACACAGCAGCAAUACGUGCCACUUAAAACAAGCCACUCUGAGCAAAUGACUACUUUGAAUGCAGCGGACAGAAGAGUAUUCCUGAGCACCCCAUUCACCCAGAAGCAGCAUGUAAGUAAAUCUGUGCAAGUUUCCCCUUCCCUCUACCGGGAAGGGUAGGUGUCUGUUACUAGAAACAGCACUAGCCCUGUGUCUGCUCACAAGCUACUCCAUUAGGACUACCCAGAUUAGAAGGAAUGGACAGGGCCUGCUCCAGUUUGGGCUCAGGGACAGAGGGGGUAAGGAAGAAGGCAUUCUGAGUGGGAUGCAGACAACAGGUAGCUGUGAGAAAUCUAAAAGGGGUUAUGGAGUGAGCAGAGAAUAAAAGGUCGGCCCAAAGAUGAGAACCUGAGCGAAGACAAGUGGCUUAAAGCUAAAAGGCUGGCAAUAGUCAGCCAUGCCCUGAGCAGACCAGACAUGCCCUCAACAGGCCAAACAUGCCCUGCAGACCAGCCAUGCCCUGAGCAGACCUUGCCCUCCUCGGCAGUCUGCACGGCCUUGGCUGCUCCUGCUGCAGCCAUCAUACCUGCUCUGACAGCUGGCUCCCUCUCCAUGAGUUCUGCAUUCACAGAUUCAGCCAAGCAUGGUGUGAAAGGCAUAGCUAUCUGUGCUGCAAACACACAGGUUUUUGCCACCCUGGGAAGUCAUGUGUGUGUGGUUUGAUACUUGUGUGCACAUGUGUGGAUGCAUAAGGGUGGAGGCCAGGGGUAGAUGUGAGGUGCCUCCCUCCAUGAUUCCCACCUUACUUUCUGAGACAAGGUGUCUCAGGGAAUCUGGAGCUCGUCUGUUUGCGAAGUUUGGCUGGCCACUGAGCUUCAGGACCCUUCCUGUCCUACCCGUGUGGUUCCACACCAGCACUGUGCCGCAGACUUGUGCCUGGCCCUGACAUUGGUGCCGCAAUCUGAACUCAGACUCUCAUGCUUUCACGUCAGGUACCAUACCAACCCAACCGCCUUCCUAAACCAUGUCAUUGUGUCUCACACCUGCAUGAUUCACAUUCACACCAUGUGAGGUGUUCUAAGCUGCCCAGAACUGGCUUGCAGGGCUCAGGACAGGAAAAGCUUGGGUGCAGCCUCCAGUUUUAUCCCCCCAGGUCUCACAACUAACUCCUUGUAAAAAGAGGGACAACUGUCCUCUCACAUCUGUCCCUUGCUUGGGAUCUUCUCAGAGUGCUUGGUGUAGCCAUGGUCCUGUGCAUCUGUACUUGGGGAGUUCAGAAGCACCCAAGUCCUAGAUUCCUCUUCAUCUGCAUCCCUGUUUUCAUUUGCCCCUUGGUUGCCAGGAGAGUACAUGUGGCCCCUGACACUACACAAACUCACCUCUCCACCCAAUUAGCUCUGACCACUGCCAGCUCUUAGACUGGAAGUCUUGGGUCAUUUUUGAGGUUUUUCUUUUUCUCUGGUGUUAAGAAUGCCACAGGACUGUUAUAAUGCUACAAAAAUUUUACAUCUCCUUUAGUCUUUUAAAAUUAUUUCAUAAUAGAAACAGUCAUUAAGUCUUCCAACCAAAAAAAAAAAAGCCCAGGACCAGAUGGGUUUAGUGCAGAGUUCUAUCUGAUCUUCAAAGAAGACCUAAUACCAAUACUCUUCAUACUAUUCCACAAAAUAGAAACAGAAAGAACACUACCCAGGUCAUUCUAUGAAGCCACAGUUACACUGCGUAUUCCCCCUUAGAGAUGGAAUGGAUUCUGUCCAAUCAGGAACCUGUCACAAUUUCCUUUCAUAAAGGACUUCAUAAGAGAUUUUUUUUUCUACUUCUAUCAUGUUUAAUAUUCCAAAUAGACUUAAAAAACUGGUAGAGUGCAUAUUACUUUUAGCUUCAGAUGAUAUCAUGUAUAUUUAAGAGGCAUUUAACUAUUAUAAAUUAUUUUGAUGACUUAGAGAAUGUUAAUACUGAGUUGUAUAUUUUAAAAUAAAUUUUAUUAAUUUAAUAACC